rnacentral:lncRNA from 1 species
GCGGCUGCGGCUUUGCCUCGGCGCGACAGUUGUUCAGAUUCCCAGGCUGACAAAAAGGAGAAACAGCUUUUACUUGCAUCCAGGGCCAAUCAUCGCAGACCCAGACGUCUGCAGAGGGGAAAAUAAAAGAAGCAAAAACAGGCCCUGCUGUGAGGGACCACGAGGCAGUGCCAGGAUGAAAGAGUUGGAGUAACCUAGGUGAUUCUGAACCAUUGCAGGUACUGUGCCUUCUGCCUGAAAUGUGCUCACCUCGCCUCGCUGACUCCUACUCGCCAGUUAGUGUUCGGCCCAUUUCUGCCCCCGUGAGAUUUCUUCACAGAUGUUGCCCUCCCCCAUUUGCUGAGUUUCCUGCAUGCCGGCUCCUUCAGCACUCAAGGGUACCUCUUUGAUUCUGCUUCUCACAGGGCUGAGGCCCCAGCUUGUGGCCACCACAACGUAUCAAGCUAUCUCCAGGGUUGGGCUCAGGACUCAGAGCUGACGCAGCUGGGGUGCCCCUUGGUUCUGGAGGAUGAGGCUCCUCCGCAGACGCCACAUGCCCCUGCGCCUGGCCAUGGUGGGCUGCGCCUUUGUGCUCUUCCUCUUCCUCCUGCAUAGGGAUGUGAGCAGCAGAGAGGAGGCCACAGAGA